rnacentral:rRNA from 1 species
GGUUUUUAGAUUUUAUUAAAAAUCAAGCCUGCUCAAUGCUAAGUAAAUAGCCGCAGAAUUUUAACUGUGCAAAGGUAGCAUAAUCACUUGUCUUUUAAUUGGGGACUAGAAUGAAAGGUUUAACUAUGUAAUUUUGUCUUAUAGUAAUAUUUUGAACUUAAUUUUUUAGUAAAAAAGCUAAAAUUCAUCUUAAAGACGAGAAGACCCUAUUAAGCUUUACAAUUUAAUAUUACUUUCAAACUAAUUAAAAAAUUGUUCUGCUGGGGCAGCAAAUAAAAAAAUAUUGUUUACAUAUUGUGAUAAAUAAAUCUAGAAAAAUCAAUAAUUUGUUAAAAAAUAAUAAGUUACUAUAGGGAUAACAGCAUAAUUUUUUUAAAGAGUUCUCAUCAACAAAAAAGUUUGUGACCUCGAUGUUGGAUUAAGAAUCCUAUUUUACGCAGUAGUAAAAAAAGGGAGUCUGUUCGACUUUUAAAUUCUUCCA